GACGAACGCUGGCGGCGUGCUUAACACAUGCAAGUCGAACGAGGUCCAUCCUUCGGGAGAAGACCUAGUGGCGAACGGGUGCGUAACACGUGAGGAACUUGUCCCGGUCUCUGGGAUAACAGUUGGAAACGACUGCUAAUACCGGAUGACGUCGGAGCGUCGCAUGGCGCGCUGACGAAAGGGUUACCGGAUCGGGAGAGCCUCGCGGCCUAUCAGCUUGUUGGUGGGGUAACGGCCUACCAAGGCAUCGACGGGUAGCUGGUCUGAGAGGAUGAUCAGCCACACUGGGACUGAGACACGGCCCAGACUCCUACGGGAGGCAGCAGUGGGGAAUCUUGCGCAAUGGGCGAAAGCCUGACGCAGCAACGCCGCGUGCGGGAAGAAGGCUCUCGGGUUGUAAACCGCUUUCAGAAGGAACGAAACUGACGGUACUUUCAGAAGAAGGUGCGGCCAACUACGUGCCAGCAGCCGCCGUAACA
rnacentral:rRNA from 1 species